ACAAUGACCUCCCCGUGCAGGACCUUCCUUCGCUGGCGCAGCAUAUGGAAGAACAGCUGAGGGAACACUGCAGAAGAACCACACACGGUCAGGACCACGCCCGUUCUCAGAGGAACCACAGACAAAACUGCAUUAUUGAAAACUCACCAAUGGCGCAGUGUCCCACCUGCAAGCAGACACAAAGACAUUGUAAGUACUGGAAGACUAGGCGUUUUAAACUAUAAUGCUUUUUUAUUAUGAAUGGUAUUUCCUCACCUCAACUAAAGCAGCGGUCUGGAAGAACUUGAGUGUCUUAGCUAUGCUCCUGUAGAGCCCCCUGUGGGUUCCUUUCUGGAGGUAGAACCUCAUCAUGGUGAUGGCUAGAACCAGCCACCUGCAGAACCACAAAGCAAGUUAAGCGGAAAGCAACACGUCGCCUCAUUGAGUGAUGAUUGACUGAAGUCAAGGUUAGAUUUAUCGAUAAAGCACCCUUCACACUGAAGCCAUUUAAUGGGCGAUCAAUAAAGUACAGUGCUUAAGGGCCAUGGUGCCUAUCGAAUAACCCUUGAAGCCGCUUCCC